CCUACGGGUGGCAGCAGUGAGGAAUAUUGGUCAAUGGCCGGAAGGCUGAACCAGCCAAGCCGCGUGAAGGACGAAGGUGCCAAGCAUUGUAAACUUCUUUUGUCAAGGGACAAAAUCAGGCUCGAGAGCCUGACCGAGGGUACUUGAAGAAAAAGCAUCGGCUAAGUCCGUGCCAGCAGCCGCGGUAAUACGGAGGAUGCGAGCGUUCUCCGGAUUUAUUGGGUUUAAAGGGUGCGUAGGCGGACUGUUAAGUCUGCGGUAAAAGCCCGGGGCCCAACCCCGGCGAGCCGUUGAAACUGUCGGUCUUGAGAUGUCGAGAGGUAUGCGGAAUGCGCAGGGUAGCGGUGAAAUGCUUAGAUAUUGCGCAGAACUCCGAUUGCGAAGGCAGCAUACCGGCGGCGAUCUGACGCUGAGGCACGAAAGCGUGGGUAUCGAACAGGAUUAGAUACCCCGGUAGUC
rnacentral:rRNA from 1 species